UGAAACCGUGUGCUUACAAGUAGUCAGAGCCCGUUAAUGGGUGAUGGCGUGCCUUUUGUAGAAUGAACCGGCGAGUUACGAUUUGAUGCAAGGUUAAGCAGUAAAUGUGGAGCCGUAGCGAAAGCGAGUCUGAAUAGGGCGUUUAGUAUUUGGUCGUAGACCCGAAACCAGGUGAUCUACCCUUGGUCAGGUUGAAGUUCAGGUAACACUGAAUGGAGGACCGAACCGACUUACGUUGAAAAGUGAGCGGAUGAACUGAGGGUAGCGGAGAAAUUCCAAUCGAACCUGGAGAUAGCUGGUUCUCUCCGAAAUAGCUUUAGGGCUAGCCUCAAGUGAUGAUUAUUGGAGGUAGAGCACUGUUUGGACGAGGGGCCCCUCUCGGGUUACCGAAUUCAGACAAACUCCGAAUGCCAAUUAAUUUAACUUGGGAGUCAGAACAUGGGUGAUAAGGUCCGUGUUCGAAAGGGAAACAGCCCAGACCACCAGCUAAGGUCCCAAAAUAUAUGUUAAGUGGAAAAGGAUGUGGCGUUGCCCAGACAACUAGGAUGUUGGCUUAGAAGCAGCCAUCAUUUAAAGAGUGCGUAAUAGCUCACUAGUCGAGUGACACUGCGCCGAAAAUGUACCGGGGCUAAACAUAUUACCGAAGCUGUGGAUUGUCCUUUGGACAAUGGUAGGAGAGCGUUCUAAGGGCGUUGAAGCAUGAUCGUAAGGACAUGUGGAGCGCUUAGAAGUGAGAAUGCCGGUGUGAGUAGCGAAAGACGGGUGAGAAUCCCGUCCACCGAUUGACUAAGGUUUCCAGAGGAAGGCUCGUCCGCUCUGGGUUAGUCGGGUCCUAAGCUGAGGCCGACAGGCGUAGGCGAUGGAUAACAGGUUGAUAUUCCUGUACCACCUAUAAUCGUUUUAAUCGAUGGGGGGACGCAGUAGGAUAGGCGAAGCGUGCGAUUGGAUUGCACGUCUAAGCAGUAAGGCUGAGUAUUAGGCAAAUCCGGUACUCGUUAAGGCUGAGCUGUGAUGGGGAGAAGACAUUGUGUCUUCGAGUCGUUGAUUUCACACUGCCGAGAAAAGCCUCUAGAUAGAAAAUAGGUGCCCGUACCGCAAACCGACACAGGUAGUCAAGAUGAGAAUUCUAAGGUGAGCGAGCGAACUCUCGUUAAGGAACUCGGCAAAAUGACCCCGUAACUUCGGGAGAAGGGGUGCUCUUUAGGGUUAACGCCCAGAAGAGCCGCAGUGAAUAGGCCCAAGCGACUGUUUAUCAAAAACACAGGUCUCUGCUAAACCGUAAGGUGAUGUAUAGGGGCUGACGCCUGCCCGGUGCUGGAAGGUUAAGAGGAGUGGUUAGCUUCUGCGAAGCUACGAAUCGAAGCCCCAGUAAACGGCGGCCGUAACUAUAACGGUCCUAAGGUAGCGAAAUUCCUUGUCGGGUAAGUUCCGACCCGCACGAAAGGCGUAACGAUUUGGGCACUGUCUCAACGAGAGACUCGGUGAAAUCAUAGUACCUGUGAAGAUGCAGGUUACCCGCGACAGGACGGAAAGACCCCGUGGAGCUUUACUGUAGCCUGAUAUUGAAAUUCGGCACAGCUUGUACAGGAUAGGUAGGAGCCUUUGAAACGUGAGCGCUAGCUUACGUGGAGGCGCUGGUGGG
rnacentral:rRNA from 1 species